rnacentral:rRNA from 1 species
AGAGUUUGAUCAUGGCUCAGAGCGAACGCUGGCGGCAGGCCUAACACAUGCAAGUCGAGCGCCGUAGCAAUACGGAGCGGCAGACGGGAGAGUAACACGUGGGAACGUACCCUUUGGUUCGGAACAACCCAGGGAAACUUGGGCUAAUACCGGAUAAGCCCUUACGGGGAAAGAUUUAUCGCCGAAGGAUCGGCCCGCGUCUGAUUAGCUAGUUGGUGGGGUAACGGCCCACCAAGGCGACGAUCAGUAGCUGGUCUGAGAGGAUGAUCAGCCUCACUGGGACUGAGACACGGCCCAGACUCCUACGGGAGGCAGCAGUGGGGAAUAUUGGACAAUGGGCGCAAGCCUGAUCCAGCCAUGCCGCGUGGGUGAUGAAGGCCCUAGGGUUGUAAAGCCCUUUCGGCGGGGAAGAUAAUGACGGUACCCGCAGAAGAAGCCCCGGCUAACUUCGUGCCAGCAGCCGCGGUA